GGGCGUGUGGCUCAGUUGGUAGAGCGUUUGCUUAGCAUCAAAAAGAGGCGGCCAUCCCAGGCACAUCAAUGUACCCUGGCAAUUGCUGUCUUUCCUGCGAAAGGUCCUGGGUUCGAUUCCCAGCCCGUCCA